rnacentral:ncRNA from 1 species
CACACGCAUGACAGGUGUUCGGUUCAGCUGGUUGGGAACCCUAUCGGGCAUUCUCCGACCAGCUGGCUGUUCUGAGAUUAUACUGUCAAAACUUGAUCUAGACAAUACUAGCGAAAGGACAUGCGUGACUUUGAUU